UACAGAGGUCUCAAGCGUUGUUCGGAUUCAUUGGGCGUAAAGGGUGCGUAGGUGGCGCCGUAAGUCGGGUGUGAAAUUUCGGAGCUUAACUCCGAAACUGCAUUCGAUACUGCGGUGCUUGAGGACUGGAGAGGAGACUGGAAUUCAUGGUGUAGCAGCGAAAUGCGUAGAGAUCAUGAGGAAGACCAGUGGCGAAGGCGGGUCUCUGGACAGUUCCUGACACUGAGGCACGAAGGCCAGGGGAGCAAACGGG
rnacentral:rRNA from 1 species